AAACUAACAAGGAUUCCCCUAGUAACGGCGAGUGAAGCGGGAAGAGCUCAAAUUUGAAAUCUGGCAGUCUUCGAUUGUCCGAGUUGUAAUCUAUAGAGGCGUUUUCCGUGCCGGACCGUGUCCAAGUCUCCUGGAAAGGAGUAUCAAAGAGGGUGAUAAUCCCGUACUUAACACGACCACCGGUGCUCUGUGAUACGUCUUCUACGAGUCGAGUUGUUUGGGAAUGCAGCUCAAAAUGGGUGGUGAAUUCCAUCUAAAGCUAAAUAUUGGCGAGAGACCGAUAGCGAACAAGUACCGUGAGGGAAAGAUGAAAAGCACUUUGGAAAGAGAGUUAAACAGUACGUGAAAUUGUUGAAAGGGAAACGAUUGAAGUCAGUCGUGUUCUUUGGAUUCAGCCAGUUCUGCUGGUCUACUUCCUUGGAACGGGUCAACAUCAGUUUUGUCCGGUGGAUAAAGGUAGUAGGAAUGUGACUUCUCCGGAAGUGUUAUAGCCUAUUAUCACAUACACUGGGUGAGACUGAGGACUGCAGCUCGCCUUUAUGGCCGGCCUUCGGGCACGUUCGAGCUUAGGAUGUUGACAUAAUGGCUGU
rnacentral:rRNA from 1 species